GAGUCAGGUUUCUCACUGUGAGAGAGGGAGGUGGAAGGUUAUAGACAAGCAAAGGGAGAAGGCUGGAUGAUCCUUGUGAUAAAGGAUUAGAGCUGUAGACAUUGGUAUGGACUUAGAUUUACCUUAAUAUAGAUACAGCUGGUUGCAUACAGAAAUAUUUAUAGAUUUGUGCAUAUGGUUAGGUUGAUAGACAUACAGGUUCGUGUACACAUAUAUAUUUCCUUGUUUUAUGAGCUGAGAGGGCCUAGAAGCAAUGAUACCCCAAUAGCAACUAGCACACUUAGUGCCCACAUCUUGGUUUUCAAAACCAUUUGCCAAAUAAAAAGAACCAGGGCUCCUUGGAGGAAUGGCUGAUGAACCCCAAAAGGAAACAUACAAAGUGUAUCUGGAGCAUCUUGUGGUGCCAGAAAGUAAGGUAGUACUAAAAAAAACAUGGAAGAAUGUCAAAAGGACACAGGAACCAAUUGAAAGAGCUCCAGUGACCAAAACAGGAACAAUUUGAGCAGUAAAAUAAAUAUAGUGGUAUUGGAUUAUUACCCAAAGUGGAAAAUAAAUAUUCAUGAUCCAUGCUUACAUAAAUAAAUGAUUAAAUAAAUAAACAAAUGGGGCAGAAGAGACAAAACGCUGGUGUGUGGGAAUUCCAAGCAAUUUACGUAGACACGUCAUCCUCCAAGAGAAUUGCUCCCCAGUAGCUCCUUAAAUGGCUGUGGGCCAUGCAGAGCGACUGACUUCCAGACAGUGUGGUCUGGAAAGGGGAAGGAAGAGAAAGCUGACACACACCACCUCAGCCAGGUACCUGAUCAAGGUCAACACGAGCUGAUGUCAUGUUGGUAGGAUGUAUCCCUUGAUGUGAUGAAAAUGGCCCUUCACCUCAGUGGUCUUCCUUCCCCACACCCAUAACCCCAGUCUAACCAGCAGAAAAACAUCAGACAAGUUCCAGCUGAGGGGCAUUCUACAAAAUACCUGACCAGUAGUCCUCAAAGCUAAUCAGGAUGAUCAAACACAAGGGAAGUCUGAGAAACUGUCCCAGACAAGAGGAGGCUAAGGACACGUGACAACUAAAUGUCAUUGGUAUCCUGGAAAAGAAAAAGGAAUUUAUGUAAAAAAACUAAGGAAGUCUGAAGCAAGUAUGGACUCACGCUUGGAUAAUAGUAUUAACGAUAUUGUAGGGCUAAUAAUAAUGUAUCAAUAUUGGUUUAUUCAUUGUGACAAAUGUACCAUCUUGACAUAAGAUGAUGAGAGCAGGAUAUUGGGAUUACAGAAUGUGGGAGCUUCAUACUGUCUUCAUAGCUUUUCUGUAAAUCUAAAGCUAUUCUCAAAUAAAAAUUAUAUUUAAAAAAUGUAAGGCUUUGGACCGGUAACUAUUCACAGCUUGUGGCUGGCACAGACGGACUGGGGAGACUGCCUCUGGGAAGGCUUCAAGGAAGUAGAGAAGAUUUCGGGAACUGCUCAGGGUUGAGAAACCUGGCUUGGGAGGCAGGGCUGAGGAGGAAGGUCUGUUCAUGCCCCAGCCUGAGAGGAGGCACCCCUCAGGGAAAGGAUACCUUGGGAAAGGGUGUUUUGGAGCCCUUCCCUGAUCUGGGAGAGCUUCUGGAGGAGGCACGUGGGUGGGGAGUGAUAGCCUGGCUCCUUGUUCUCCUACUUCUUCCCAGCUGACCUAGUCAUCCCUCUGGGCCAGCCCUGCUCUCAUCUGGGGGCAGCCCUCCAGAGUUGUUAGUAGAGUUCAGCUCUGGAACCAGAAAAGCUCCGACACUUACCAGCUGUGUGACCUUUUGGAUAAGGCUGAUGACUUCUCUGAACCUCAGAGUGCUCAUCUAUAAAGAGCGGUUCUAAACUCAAAAAUGCUUUCCAUCCAGGCGGCACUCCAGGACUCAGGCUUCACUAGCCCUAGGGGCUCCCUUUUGCUGUAGGAAUGCAGUUAGAGCUUUUCAAACCAAGAACAAAAAGGGUUUAUUGGUUACAUGGCUGCCUGGAACAAAAACUACCUUUCCCAGGCUCCCUUGCAGCUAAGGCUAGACAUGUGUCCAAGAGUUCUGGCCAGUGUGAUGCAAGCAAAAGCAAGGAGUGCAACUUCCGGAUGACAUCCUUAAAAGGAGGGAAGCAGUCCUCUUGACCAUCUUUUCCCCAGCUGGAGCAAUCUGGAAGCCUAUGUGAUGCCGAACCACCUUGGAUCCUGUGAGUGGGAACAGGACCAUAGGGAUGGCACAGGACCAGGUUAGUUAGGAGAAACUUGAUUCUCUGAUGCCAUUUUGCCCCCAAAUUGUUCAUGCCUAGACUGUUACAUGAGAGGAAAUAAAUAUCUAUCAUGUUUGAGCCAC